CGGCGCCACAAGUGGUGAUCAUGUUUAUUGGGCCUAAAGCGUUCGUAGCCGGUUUGAUAAAUCUUCUGUGAAAUUGUCAGGCUUAACCUGACAGCGUGCAGAAGACACUAUCAAACUUGGGACCGGGAGGAGUCAGAGGUAUUUUUGGGGGAGCGGUAAAAUGCUAUAAUCCCAAGAAGACUAACUGUGGCGAAGGCGCCAUACGGGAACGGGUCCGACGGUGAGGAACGAAAGCUAGGGGAGCGAUCCGGAUUAGAGACCCGAGUAGUCC
rnacentral:rRNA from 1 species